UUAUAUGAGAGUUUGAUCCUGGCUCAGGAUGAACGCUGGCGGUGUGCCUAAUACAUGCAAGUCGAACGCGUUGGCCCAAUUGAUUGAUGGUGCUUGCACCUGAUUGAUUUUGGUCGCCAACGAGUGGCGGACGGGUGAGUAACACGUAGGUAACCUGCCCAGAAGCGGGGGACAACAUUUGGAAACAGAUGCUAAUACCGCAUAACAGCGUUGUUCGCAUGAACAACGCUUAAAAGAUGGCUUCUCGCUAUCACUUCUGGAUGGACCUGCGGUGCAUUAGCUUGUUGGUGGGGUAACGGCCUACCAAGGCGAUGAUGCAUAGCCGAGUUGAGAGACUGAUCGGCCACAAUGGGACUGAGACACGGCCCAUACUCCUACGGGAGGCAGCAGUAGGGAAUCUUCCACAAUGGGCGCAAGCCUGAUGGAGCAACACCGCGUGAGUGAAGAAGGGUUUCGGCUCGUAAAGCUCUGUUGUUAAAGAAGAACACGUAUGAGAGUAACUGUUCAUACGUUGACGGUAUUUAACCAGAAAGUCACGGCUAACUACGUGCCAGCAGCCGCGGUAAUACGUAGGUGGCAAGCGUUAUCCGGAUUUAUUGGGCGUAAAGAGAGUGCAGGCGGUUUUCUAAGUCUGAUGUGAAAGCCUUCGGCUUAACCGGAGAAGUGCAUCGGAAACUGGAUAACUUGAGUGCAGAAGAGGGUAGUGGAACUCCAUGUGUAGCGGUGGAAUGCGUAGAUAUAUGGAAGAACACCAGUGGCGAAGGCGGCUACCUGGUCUGCAACUGACGCUGAGACUCGAAAGCAUGGGUAGCGAACAGGAUUAGAUACCCUGGUAGUCCAUGCCGUAAACGAUGAGUGCUAGGUGUUGGAGGGUUUCCGCCCUUCAGUGCCGGAGCUAACGCAUUAAGCACUCCGCCUGGGGAGUACGACCGCAAGGUUGAAACUCAAAGGAAUUGACGGGGGCCCGCACAAGCGGUGGAGCAUGUGGUUUAAUUCGAAGCUACGCGAAGAACCUUACCAGGUCUUGACAUCUUGCGCCAACCCUAGAGAUAGGGCGUUUCCUUCGGGAACGCAAUGACAGGUGGUGCAUGGUCGUCGUCAGCUCGUGUCGUGAGAUGUUGGGUUAAGUCCCGCAACGAGCGCAACCCUUGUUACUAGUUGCCAGCAUUAAGUUGGGCACUCUAGUGAGACUGCCGGUGACAAACCGGAGGAAGGUGGGGACGACGUCAGAUCAUCAUGCCCCUUAUGACCUGGGCUACACACGUGCUACAAUGGACGGUACAACGAGUCGCGAACUCGCGAGGGCAAGCAAAUCUCUUAAAACCGUUCUCAGUUCGGACUGCAGGCUGCAACUCGCCUGCACGAAGUCGGAAUCGCUAGUAAUCGCGGAUCAGCAUGCCGCGGUGAAUACGUUCCCGGGCCUUGUACACACCGCCCGUCACACCAUGAGAGUUUGUAACACCCAAAGUCGGUGGGGUAACCUUUUAGGAGCCAGCCGCCUAAGGUGGGACAGAUGAUUAGGGUGAAGUCGUAACAAGGUAGCCGUAGGAGAACCUGCGGCUGGAUCACCUCCUUU
rnacentral:rRNA from 1 species